rnacentral:rRNA from 1 species
UAGGGAAUCUUCGGCAAUGGGGGGAACCCUGACCGAGCAACGCCGCGCGAGUGAAGAAGGUUUUCGGAUCGUAAAGCUCUGUUGUUAAGGAAGAACGAGUGUGAGAAUGGAAAGUUCAUACUGUGACGGUACUUAACCAGAAACGGACGGCUAACUACGUGCCAGCAGCCGCGGUAAUACGUAGGUCCCGAGCGUUGUCCGGAUUUAUUGGGCGUAAAGCGAGCGCAGGCGGUUAGAUAAGUCUGAAGUUAAAGGCAGUGGCUCAACCAUUGUAGGCUUUGGAAACUGUUUACCUUGAGUGCAGAAGGGGAGAGUGGAAUUCCAUGUGUAGCGGUGAAAUGCGUAGAUAUAUGGAGGAACACCAGUGGCGAAGUCGACUCUCUGGUCUGUAACUGCCGCUGAGGCUCGAAAGCGUGGGUAGCAAACAGG